AUACAAAACCAAUCGUAGCAGUACGUUUUCGGGUGAAUCAUGAUAACUAUUCGAAUCGCAUGGCUUUGCCGGCGAUGGUUCAUUCAAAUUUCUGCCCUAUCAACUUUCGAUGGUAGUAUAGAGGACUACCAUGGUUAUAACGGGUAACGGAGAAUUAGGGUUCGAUUCCGGAGAGGGAGCCUGAGAAACGGCUACCACAUCCAAGGAAGGCAGCAGGCGCGCAAAUUACCCAAUCCCGAUUCGGGGAGGUAGUGACAAUAAAUAACAAUACAGAGCUCUUUGAGUUUUGUAAUUGCAAUGAGAACAAUUUAAACCUCUUAACGAGAACCAAUUGGAGGGCAAGUCUGGUGCCAGCAGCCGCGGUAAUUCCAGCUCCAAUAGCGUAUAUUAAAGUUGUUGCAGUUAAAAAGCUCGUAGUUGAACCUUUGGCUUGGCUGGGCGGUCUCUCAUCGAGAGUACUUUCUGGCCUCGUCUUUCCUUCUGGAGAAGCAUGGUGCUAUUCAUUUAGUGCUGU
rnacentral:rRNA from 1 species